rnacentral:rRNA from 1 species
AACGAACGCUGGCGGCAGGCUUAACACAUGCAAGUCGAGCGCCCCGCAAGGGGAGCGGCAGACGGGUGAGUAACGCGUGGGAAUCUACCCAUCUCUACGGAAUAACGCAUGGAAACGUGUGCUAAUACCGUAUACGUCCUUCGGGAGAAAGAUUUAUCGGAGAUGGAUGAGCCCGCGUUGGAUUAGCUAGUUGGUGGGGUAAAGGCCUACCAAGGCGACGAUCCAUAGCUGGUCUGAGAGGAUGAUCAGCCACACUGGGACUGAGACACGGCCCAGACUCCUACGGGAGGCAGCAGUGGGGAGUAUUGGACAAUGGGCGCAAGCCUGAUCCAGCCAUGCCGCGUGAGUGAUGAAGGCCCUAGGGUUGUAAAGCUCCUUCACCGGUGAAGAUAAUGACGGUAACCGGAGAAGAAGCCCCGGCUAACUUCGUGCCAGCCGCCGCCGUAAAAC